rnacentral:rRNA from 1 species
CAUCCAGCGAACUUGGCAGAGAUGCCUUGGUGCCUUCGGGAACGCUGAGACAGGUGCUGCAUGGCUGUCGUCAGCUCGUGUUGUGAAAUGUUGGGUUAAGUCCCGCAACGAGCGCAACCCUUAUCCUUUGUUGCCAGCGAUUCGGUCGGGAACUCAAAGGAGACUGCCGGUGAUAAACCGGAGGAAGGUGGGGAUGACGUCAAGUCAUCAUGGCCCUUACGAGUAGGGCUACACACGUGCUACAAUGGCGCAUACAAAGAGAAGCGACCUCGCGAGAGCAAGCGGACCUCAUAAAGUGCGUCGUAGUCCGGAUCGGAGUCUGCAACUCGACUCCGUGAAGUCGGAAUCGCUAGUAAUCGUGGAUCAGAAUGCCACGGUGAAUACGUUCCCGGGCCUUGUACACACCGCCCGUCACACCAUGGGAGUGGGUUGCAAAAGAAGUAGGUAGCUUAACCUCCGGGAGGGCGCUUACCACUUUGUGAUUCAUGACUGGGGUGAAGUCGUAACAAGGUAGGCGUAGCGAG